CUGGCUAGGUAUACGUGUGCAUGUGCUAAUACGCGGGGGCAGGGAUUGAUGGAGUCAACGAAAUGUGCCCCAUCUGCAUCUUAGACAGGAAAAAGAGAAAUGGGUGAAUUCCAAUUUUCAGCAUGAAUCAAGAAGUGUGCACAGUAAAUAAAAGGUUCCAGAGACUUCUGUGAAGGGCAGUGCGAUCCACGCUGCUUCAGCACGUCCACAGCACUGUGCACAAGAGCGACAGCUCCAGACUUCCUGUACAGGACAAGUGAAGGGACAGCAGUCUGGCUGAAGUUACACUUGUGUAGUGAGCACCCUGCUUUUACUUAGCUGCCAUGUUUAUUUGGUACCUUGGAGUGAGGUGUUGGGUUCUGCUAGAUGCCUUCUUUCCAGGAAGAUAACCCAGGUCGUCACCAUGAAAGCAUGAAAUUUUAGUCACCCACCCGAGGGGAUUUGUCGACAUAUUUCAAGAAUUUCUCGAAUGGACUGUGCUUAUAGACCCCCUGGUCAGUGUAGGAAGGAGGCCAGGGCACUGAAGGAAGGCUUCCAGCAGGGAGAGCAGGCUGAAGAUGAGGAAAUCAAGGCACAACAAAGUUGAAGUGAUUGGAGGACAACUGUUUGCAGAGCUUGACCAUUUCUCUCCACAUAAGGAGACGGCCACUGGUGCCAAGGCCAUUGGGUUAUAACAGAACAGCCUCUGCAGUUCGUGAGACCCCAUAAUGGGAUUAAACCGCAAUGGUGAUGCUUCUGACAUGUGGAUUUGGAGUGAGGUGAGGAG
rnacentral:lncRNA from 1 species